ensembl:lncRNA
AGACGGGUUCCGUGAAUGUCCUGGAGGGAGGGGAGAGAGACACCAACGAUCUUCUCAGCUGCUCUCACUAUGCGUUGAAGGGUCUUGCGGCAGGAUGCGUUGCAGGCGCCAUACCACACAGUGAUGCAGCUCGUCAGAAUGCUCUCGAUGGUGCCUCUGUAGAAGGUGUGGCGGGGGCUCUAGCUCUUCUCAGUUUGCGGAGGAAGUAGAGACCACAGUUGUGUCAUCAGCAAACUUGAUGAUGUGGUUGGAGCUGAACUUGACAGUGCAGUUGUGGGUCAGCAGCAUGAAGAGCAGCGGGCUGAGCACACAGCCAUGUGGGGCACCUGUGCUCAGUGUGGUAGUGCUGGAGGUGUUGUGGACGACACGGACUGACUGAGGUCUUCCAGUUAGAAAGUCCAGGAUCACAGAGGGAGGUGUUUAGGCCCAGCAGGUUUUGUUGAUGAGUUGUUGUGGGAUUAUUGUGUUGAAUGCUGAGCUGAAGUCGAUGAACAGCAUUCUGACAUAGGAGUCUUUGUUUUCUAAGUGGGUAAGAGCCAGGUGGAGGGUGGAGGAAAUGGCAUCGUCCGUGGAGCAGACGGUAUGCAAACUGGAGCGGGUCAAGUGUGUUGGGGAGAUUGGAUUUGAUAUGGUAUAUGAUUAACCUCUCAAAGCACUUCAUCAUGAUUGGGGUCAGUUUUAUGGGACAAUAGUCAUUCAGGCAGGGCACAGGUGACUCCUUUGGUACUGGUAUGAUGGUGGUGGACUUGAGACAUGUGGGGACAACUAGUGAGAUGUUAAAGAUGUCUGUUGCAUUUCAAACCGUGCAUAAAACUCAUUGAGUGUAUCUGGGAGGGAUGUGUCAUCAUCACAGGCCUGUGGCAGGGGCUUGUAGUCUGUGAUGGUCUGAAUAGUUUUUCACAGACUCCGUGUGUCCUUGCUGUCAGCAAAGUGAUUAUUGAUUUUUUUGUGCAUACAACCGUUUUGUUUUCUUGAUGCCACGGUACAGGUUGACUCUUGCUGUUUUGAGGACUGCUUUGUUUCAUCUCGGGUCUUUAGCGGCCCAAGAACCUCUGCUGUCAUCCAUGGCUUCUGGUUUGCACUUGUGGUGAUGUUCUCGGUGACUGUCACAUCAUCAGUGCACUUUUUGAUGUAAGCAGUCACUGUUUCAGUGUACUCUUGCAGGUCUGUGUGGUCAUGAUAGUUGGCUGCCUCUUUAAACAUGUUCCAGUCUGUGUCCUGGCGCUUGUAUAAGGUCAAAUGUGUAUUUUAUGUGCUGUAAAUAGUCAUCAUUUCUUUUGUUUUUACAUUUUUAGCCUUUUCAAUGAAUUUAUGAAGACAUACAAAUAAACAAAAUGUCCAUGUCAACUACAUUUAUGCAUUAUAAAGGAAAAUAUAGCAUGUUGUUUAAAAUUUAAGUAGGUGACCCAGUUAGCCUACCAUGUCAUGCAAUGUCCUUUCACCAAAGCCUGAUCGAUUGUGUUCCAGCUGUGUUCUCCCCCCACCCCCCACCCCACCCCCGUUUUCACUGACUUCGAUAUAUGAAGUCAUUACAUCAGAAUCAGAUGGGUAUUGGGUGACAGAAAGCCCUGGCAGCAUUAGACUUGUUUCACUCAGCUGCUCAAGCCUGGAGAAGAAACAUCUGCUUGUGAAAGGAUGCACUUUUGAAUAUAUUUCUUUAGAAGAUCUUUCAUUCUUCAGAUUACAGGAACUUUAAAAACUAAUUUUAAACAGACCCAAACAGCUACAAGGAUCACAUGCCCAAAUCAGAGCUUAAAAAAAAACAUUUUCAGGAAUUGCAAGGGAGGCAUUAACAGAGUAACGCAGCUAAAUACUGAUAGUGUGGCAAGUAUAAGAGAUGGAAAGAUACUUCACACCUGUGCGUGGCUCCUCAGAGGAUGAGGUGAAAAUUUACAAACAUUACCGUCCCAUACCUCAACAGCAUCCUCACAACCAUUAUCACCACCAUGGCUCACACAGUCAAAGCUCUUCAAGCGGUCAUGGAAAACACAGUGAUAAACAUACUUACCAUCACCACGACAACCAGCAUCACUUUUAUCAUCCCGCAAACCCUAAAAUGUCUGGAGACCAUCACAGCUUCUCUAAAAGGUCUUCCUCCAGCCUGUCCUCUUCCACUUCUUCAUCUGCAUCUUGGACCUCAGAGCCCAGUCUGGAUGAUGAGACGUAUCUCAUGCACAAACCCCAGCAUUCCCUGUCCUGCUCCAACAUCCCUGAGGUUCGAAGGAAAAGCCACAGAGAUCACAGAGAUCAGAGGCACCGCCACAGCCUAGAAAAUGUCGUCGAACUGCUGCCUGGUUCACAGCAUGAACAUCAGAUGCCAAAACUCUCCCGGGGCCACAGCAAAAGCGAGGAGGCCCUUCAACAAAACAAGCACAAACAUGAUUACUCAGAAGGAUCUCACUCCAUGCAUCAUGGGCCACUUUACAAGACUGCAAGCCUGGGACAAAGCCUUGCCUUUGGUGGCAACACUCUAGGUGGCAGGGUGGUUCCCAAGAAGGCUGUUUCAACCUUUCAGCUACCCAGCAAAGGUAUUCUGAAAAACAAAUAUGAUGGACAGAAAGAAGGAAACUUCAGGAAAGCGAAGUCUAUGGAGGUGCUCUCCACCAGGGUGCACAUCACAGGAACAUCCAAGCAGAUCUCUACGGAAGCUGCAAAGGAUAACUUUAUGAAAGGGAAGCUACAGUUCUCUGCAUUUCUGGACGAGAUCACCAAGCAGGUUAUCAGUCCCUGUGCUCUUAGCUCUUUUGGUGUAAACACAUCAACGCCACCAAAAUCACCCAGUGAAGAGCGCAAGAACCGCAGCAGCAAGCAGGAGAGCUUUGUGCCAUCACCAAAACAGCAGCCCAUCAGAACCGAGAGACGUGAUUCAGAAAAAAACGAUUCAAGCUCACUUUCUCGAUCACAUAAGAGACCGAGCAAAUACCACAACCGAAACCUGACCAGUCCUCCACCCACGCCCCACCACCCUUCCAAAGCUGAAAGACAAGGGGCUGCUUCAGGUAAACAGCACCACAGGCAAUAUUCUCAGAUGCUCACUGAUGGUACCAGCACCAGCCCAGAAACUGUCCACACCAACCUCUCUAAACACAAAGAGCGACAUCAAAGUAGUCAUGGCCCUUUCAGACACAUUCAUACCAAGCAGGAGAAGGGUUCACCGCUACAUUUGCGAGCCGCAGGGCUGGAAUCAGAGUCUCAGUCGAGUAAAUCAUCCACCAGUGGUAGUUCAGAGAAAAGUGACAGACCCAAACACAUGGGACACAGGAGGCAGUCCAAACCACACAGGGAUUCAUCUGGUUCCAUGGACAGAGUUCAGAUGCUGGAGGAGAACAACAAAGAGCUACAUGAGAACCUGUUGCAGACGGUGGCAUGCAUUGAGAACAUGGAGGCAGAAUUGCAGUGUACCAAGACAGAGUUAGUCAGCUUCAAAGAGAAAUACAGAAGGCUUCAGGAAAGCUAUUCUGUUUCUCAGCAGGCAAACAGUGUCUUGGAGCAGAAACUCAAAUCUGCGAUAGACAGCUUGGAAUCUGAGAGGAAGUUCCUCAUGCAGAGAGUUGCAGAUGUGACUAAACAGCUGGAUAUUGCUCAGAAGACCAUCAACUCUCUGGAAAACGUCAAUGUUCCCUCGUUCAUUAAAGAGUUGUUGAGAAAUCACUUUGAUUCUCGGGAAGCACUGGAGCACUUCUUAUGUCCUCGAACAUCUCCACGCAAACCUGAUAUUGACCAAUCAGAGAGGGCGCAGGAGGUCAGAAACAACCAACCAUCUGGUGGAAAAGAGGAAGUAUUUGAAUGGCCACAGACUGGACACACAUGUUCAGGUGCCAGACAACUGUCUGCCACAGCCUUUCUGCCAUGGAAACAUGAUCAUGAUCCAUGGGCAGGGCCAGGACAACUCAUGGCUAAAGGAAGUGAUUCACAACUUCCUUUUUCUUUUGAUGAUGAUGUGCCAAUCCACAAAACAAUGGCAGAUACAAAGGCCCCAAGUCAUCAAGUGCAUCAAUUAGCCAUUAACACAGAGAUCCAAUUAAUUCCCCCAAACCCAUAUAAUUUAGAUGAGAUGAGGUUCAGCAGAAAGACAGGUGGAGAGGGAAGUAUCACUGUGGGGAAAGAGCCCACUGAUGUCAGCUAUCUUACUGCUCAUAGGAUGCUGAAUGAGUUUUUGAACCAGAUUCCUCCUCCAGCGCAUGAUGGUGAAGGGAAAGAUAGCUUAUAAGCAGAACUAUAACAAAAGGAAAGCAGUAACAUUUAAUUUGACAUCUUUUUGGUAAACUGUAUAGGAACUGGAUAAAAACCUCAAUAACGUCUCCCAUUACCAAUAUUGCAGCAAGGAUGCAAAUAACUGUGGCUCUGAUGGCUCUUUAUUGGUAGUUGUGAAAUACACUUGAUUUCUAGCUUUACAAGUAUAAUUGCUGUAUGCAUAUAAGUAUGUAGAUACGGUAUACCAUCUGGUUUUGUGCUAUAUCCAUUAAAACUUUUAGUUUUCUGGUUUCCUGCUUUCAUUUGUAGUUCAGUACAUUUGCAAAAGGCAUCCUUUGUAUUUGUGUUUUAUGCCUGUUUGCACUUUUUGCCGUGCAUAUUGUGAAAUAUUUAAGGUUAGCAAUAAAAUUGUAUAAUUCGAUAUUCAUUUUUUUAUUGCUAACCAAAAUUACUGUCAAUUUGUUUUGGAAAAGUAUGGCACUCUCAUUCUUCUGUCUUUGGGUGCUCAAUGUCUGCCUGUAUAAAAUUAAAAAUUAAACUGUAGAGUGAAUAGCACUUCUAUGAAAUGUGUAAAUGAACUGAGACAAUGUUCAUGUGGUUAUUUAUUGUAUAAAUUACAUUUAGGGAAAUUUGAAUUGUUGUUUUUGUGAAAUCUAUAUGUGUAACUAUAUGUAUAUGUAUAGAAUAUAAGUUAUAGUUUCUGCUAGAAAUCAAAUAAGCCAUAUAACCAUAUAUAUUUAAUAUAGAAUAUCCUUGUAUUUUUAUUCCAAAUGUAUUAAUAAAG